rnacentral:lncRNA from 1 species
UUCAAUAUAAUAUGUUAUAUGCUUUGAUUUGUGAUCAUUUGAGUCUCAGCGUCAUUUUUCCCACUUAUAUAUACAAAUAAGGGAAGUAGGAGCCCAAACCACAGUCUCAUAAAAUGAAGCUCAAUGGUCUUACUUUCUUCCUGGUUGUACUCUCUGCAUUUAUUCUCUUUUCUGCUGCUGGAAGAACCCAUCCCGCCACCCUUCAACCCCAAAAUAAUAAACAAAAAGGUAUGAUAAAUCACAUGCAUAUAAUAUAGAUGUAGAUACAUGUGUAUACAUGUAUACACACAAAUAUUAUGUAUUUACUAUCAUGAGACAUGCUUACAUGUGUCAAUGUGUAUAUUAGUUUGUGUGUACUUAUAUGUUGCAUAUGCAGCUAUUGAAUCAGAAAAAGUCGCUCAUACAAAUAGCGGACCAAGCACGUGGGGCGGGUGUUGGAGUUGCUGGAAAAACCAUGACCGGCGUCUUCUCCGCUAGGAAUAUCUAAUGAUGAUGGCAAUAUGCAUCUUUUGUUGAUCCAUGUUGGAAUAACCAAUCGGGCGUUUGUUCUGAUUUUCUGCUUUUUGUAAGACAUUAGACACUGACAAUGUUUUUAAUAAUCUCGAUCUCUUUUAAUAAUAUGUUUGAUAGAUUUUGUGCAAAAAUCCAGUUAAGGCACAUAAAAAAAUACGUAAAAUAUUAUUAAGUAAACUCCUUAACGUUAAAUUAAACAUUUAAAGUUGAUAAUAAACAUCCCGUAAUACUAUAUAUGGGUUUUCAGUCGUUAGGAAUAAACUGAAUAUGCUACAAACAACUUUCAAAUGAAGAUAAAUACCAUACAUUACUAUCUUCUAAAGAUCUUCUAAUAUUUUUAG